UAAACAAAAGUGAGACGCAGCUCAGACUGCAGGUCAAAGUGCUGCCAACCACCAGCGCCGACGGGCGAAUGGAAGACGUAUGACACAUGCAGGGGCACACGCAGGGUCACGUAAGACUGCACCAGGUUCAGCACCUACACAGGACAGAAAGUGAACCUACCGUGACGCAGACUACAGGAUAUCCUGCAACUGGCUGAGCAUCUCUAGUGCUGCUUGUAUCAUCGUACUGCAACAGAGACACUACUAUUGGCACCGCGGGGAAGGUCACAUCGGCCAUACUGUUUGUCUCUUCAAUGUAGAUGAUGGCUUUGGUGACCUGAAGAUUUGGAAAAGAAGAUAGAAUGAACACAGUGUGGAUCCUUCAUUGGUUUGAGGUGGACAGUGAAGGCCUCUCUCAUCUCUCGUACACCAUCAUACAGAAUUUCCACCUCCACGAUGUGCUCAGUCUCUCCUUCUUUAAACUCCAAAUCUGCAAUUGGGAAAUUGUCAUUUUCAUGUUUGAUUUUGAACGUGUUCUAUAUGCACAGUACAUUACAAUGGCUUUUUUAAAGUGUGAUAAAUAACCAGUGUGGGACAACAUAUCUGUACAAGAAACAUGAAGAAACAUGUCCAGCUCAUUAUUCACUCCCAAAUUAAAAAGAAAAAAAGGAAAUUAUAUUUUAUGACUAU